AAGCGUACCUUGACGGUACCUAACCAGAAAGCCACGGCUAAUACGUGCCACACCCCGGUAAUACGUAGGUGGCAAGCGUUGUCCGGAAUUAUUGGGCGUAAAGCGCGCGCAGGCGGUUUCUUAAGUCUGAUGUGAAAGCCCCCGGCUCAACCGGGGAGGGUCAUUGGAAACUGGGGAACUUGAGUGCAGAAGAGGAGAGUGGAAUUCCACGUGUAGCGGUGAAAUGCGUAGAGAUGUGGAGGAACACCAGUGGCGAAGGCGACUCUCUGGUCUGUAACUGACGCCUGAGGCGCGAAAGCGUGGGGAGCGAACAGGAUUAGAUACCCUGGUAGUCCACGCCGUAAACGAUGAGUGCUAAGUGUUAGAGGGUUUCCGCCCUUUAGUGCUGCAGCAAACGCAUUAAGCACUCCGCCUGGGGAGUACGGUCGCAAGACUGAAACUCAAAGGAAUUGACGGGGGCCCGCACAAGCGGUGGAGCAUGUGGUUUAAUUCGAAGCAACGCGAAGAACCUUACCAGGUCUUGACAUCCUCUGACAACCCUAGAGAUAGGGCUUCCCCUUCGGGGGCAGAGUGACAGUKGUGCAUGGUGUCGUCAGCUCGUGUCGUGAGAUGUUGGGUUAAGUCCCGCAACGAGCGCAACCCUUGAUCUUAGUUGCCAGCAUUCAGUUGGGCACUCUAAGGUGACUGCCGGUGACAAACCGGAGGAAGGUGGGGAUGACGUCAAAUCAUCAUGCCCCUUAUGACCUGGGCUACACACGUGCUACAAUGGGCAGAACAAAGGGCAGCGAAGCCGCGAGGCUAAGCCAAUCCCACAAAUCUGUUCUCAGUUCGGAUCGCAGUCUGCAACUCGACUGCGUGAAGCUGGAAUCGCUAGUAAUCGCGGAUCAGCAUGCGCGCGGUGAAUACGUUCCCGGGCCUUGUACACACCGCCCGUCA
rnacentral:rRNA from 1 species